UUCCAGCUCUCCUAGUGUAUCUCGUUAUUGCUGCGGUUAAAAAGCUCGUAGUUGGAUCUAGGUUACGUGCCGCAGUUCGCAAUUUGCGUUAACUGUGGUCGUGACUUCUAAUUUGCUGGUUUGAGGUUGGGUUCGCCCUUCAACUGCCAGCAGGUUUACCUUGAAUAAAUCAGAGUGCUCAAUACAGGCGCUUGCUUGAAUAGCUCAUCAUGGAAUAAUGAAACAGGACUUCGGUUCUUUUUGUUGGUUCUAGAAUUGAUCUAAUGGUUAAGAGGGACAAACCGGGGGCAUUCGUAUCAUUACGCGAGAGGUGAAAUUCGUGGACCGUAGUGAGACGCCCAAUAGCGAAAGCAUUUGCCAAGAAUGUCUUCAUUAAUCAAGAACGAAAGUCAGAGGUUCGAAGGCGAUUAGAUACCGCCCUAGUUCUGACCGUAAACGAUGCCAUCUCGCGAUUCGGAGGGUUCAUGCCCUACCGAGGAGCUACCCGGAAACGAAAGUCUUUCGGUUCCGGGGGUAGUAUGGUUGCAAAGCUGAAACUUAAAGAAAUUGACGGAAGGGCACCACAAGGCGUGGAGCUUGCGGCUUAAUUUGACUCAACACGGGAAAACUCACCCGGUCCGGACACUAUUAGGACUGACAGAUUGAAAGCUCUUUCUCGAUUUGGUGGUUGGUGGUGCAUGGCCGUUCUUAGUUGGUGGAGUGAUUUGUCUGGUUUAUUCCGAUAACGAGCGAGACUCUAGCCUGCUAAAUAGUCGACGAAUCUUCGGGUUCGUAUAACUUCUUAGAGGGAUAAGCGGUGUUUAGCCGCACGAGAUUGAGCGAUAACAGGUCUGUGAUGCCCUUAGAUGUCCGGGGCUGCACGCGUGCUACACUGGUGGAGUCAGCGGGUUUUUCCUAUGCCGAAAGGUAUCGGUAAACCGUUGAACUUCUUCCAUGUCCGGGAUAGGGUAUUGUAAUUAUUACCCUUAAACGAGGAAUGCCUAGUAAGUGUGAGUCAUCAGCUCACGUUGAUUACGUCCCUGCCCUUUGUACACACCGCCCGUCGCUAUCCGGGACUGAACUGAUUCGAGAAGAGUGGGGACUGUGGCUGCGAGGUUUUACCACUUCGC
rnacentral:rRNA from 1 species